rnacentral:rRNA from 1 species
AUGGCUUCAUCCGGUUCCAUGAUGAGGCCACCAUGUGCUAACUAAGAAGACACGCCGAACAAGUGGGACAACGCAUCUUUGGACAAGGUGAAAGAGAAAGAUGUGAAAAUCCCACCAUGUUGGUGUGGAGAUGUUUGCAAUGUGAAGGUUUCCACCAACCGAAAGAAGUCAUGGACGGAGGGAAGGAGAUAUUUUGUAUGCCCCAACUAUGCCCAUGAUCGUGCGCUUCCAACUAACCCCUAUGAUGUACCGCCGGUAUGUCUUAAAAGUAACAUGUUAUUUUCAAAUUUGUGUGAGCACUAA